rnacentral:rRNA from 1 species
UAGUCCAUGCCGUAAACGGUGGGCACUAGAUGUGGGGGCCUGUCAACGGUUUCCGUGUCGUAGCUAACGCGUUAAGUGCCCCGCCUGGGGAGUACGGUCGCAAGACUAAAACUCAAAGGAAUUGACGGGGCUCACACAAGCGGUGGAGCAUGUGGCUUAAUUCGAAGCAACGCGAAGAACCUUAUCCAGGGUUUGACAUCCCGGAUUAACCUAUUGAAAGAUAGGCUACGCCCUCUGGGUGGAACGGUGACAGGUGCUGCAUGGCUGUCGUCAGCUCGUGCUGUGAAGUGUCGGGUUAAGUCCCUCAACGAGCGCAACCCUUAUCGUUAGUUGCUAACNGGUAAUGCUGAGGACUCUAGCGAGACUGCCGGUGUCAAACCGGAGGAAGGUGGGGAUGACGUCAA